GGAACUUCUGAAGCUGAAAUUCAUUUUGAGACACAGCUUUGUACUCCAAGGAAUACUCAUAGUGCAAUUUUACAAAACACCGAAGAGCUCCUGUGGACAUAAUAUUUAACUUACUGACCCAUUUCAGUCACCUCAAGACAAGUCCAGUAUUAUGAGGAGUUGUGAUCAUUGCUCAGCAUACAAGACAGUAUGAUGGAUGCUACUCUUCUAUGACAAGAAUUUUAACAGCCCUUCUUCAGCACUCAAUGCACACCCAAUUAUGCGUC
rnacentral:lncRNA from 1 species